GGGUUGUGAGGUUAAGCGACUAAGCGUACACGGUGGAUGCCCUGGCAGUCAGAGGCGAUGAAGGACGUGCUAAUCUGCGAUAAGCGUCGGUAAGGUGAUAUGAACCGUUAUAACCGGCGAUUUCCGAAUGGGGAAACCCAGUGUGAUUCGUCACACUAUCAUUACGUGAAUACAUAGCGUAAUGAAGCGAACCGGGGGAACUGAAACAUCUAAGUACCCCGAGGAAAAGAAAUCAACCGAGAUUCCCCCAGUAGCGGCGAGCGAACGGGGAGCAGCCCAGAGUCUGAAUCAGCUUGUGUGUUAGUGGAACGGUCUGGAAAGUCCGACGGUACAGGGUGAUAGUCCCGUACACCAAAAUGCACAGGUUGUGAACUCGAAGAGUAGGGCGGGACACGUGGUAUCCUGUCUGAAUAUGGGGGGACCAUCCUCCAAGGCUAAAUACUCCUGACUGACCGAUAGUGAACCAGUACCGUGAGGGAAAGGCGAAAAGAACCCCGGCGAGGGGAGUGAAAAAGAACCUGAAACCGUGUACGUACAAGCAGUGGGAGCCUCUUUAUGGGGUGACUGCGUACCUUUUGUAUAAUGGGUCAGCGACUUAUAUUCUGUAGCAAGGUUAACCGUAUAGGGGAGCCGAAGGGAAACCGAGUCUUAACUGGGCGUUAAGUUGCAGGGUAUAGACCCGAAACCCGGUGAUCUAGCCAUGGGCAGGUUGAAGGUUGGGUAACACUAACUGGAGGACCGAACCGACUAAUGUUGAAAAAUUAGCGGAUGACUUGUGGCUGGGGGUGAAAGGCCAAUCAAACCGGGAGAUAGCUGGUUCUCCCCGAAAGCUAUUUAGGUAGCGCCUCGUGAAUUCAUCUUCGGGGGUAGAGCACUGUUUCGGCUAGGGGGUCAUCCCGACUUACCAACCCGAUGCAAACUGCGAAUACCGAAGAAUGUUAUCACGGGAGACACACGGCGGGUGCUAACGUCCGUCGUGAAGAGGGAAACAACCCAGACCGCCAGCUAAGGUCCCAAAGUCAUGGUUAAGUGGGAAACGAUGUGGGAAGGCACAGACAGCCAGGAUGUUGGCUUAGAAGCAGCCAUCAUUUAAAGAAAGCGUAAUAGCUCACUGGUCGAGUCGGCCUGCGCGGAAGAUGUAACGGGGCUAAACCAUGCACCGAAGCUGCGGCAGCGACACUAUGUGUUGUUGGGUAGGGGAGCGUUCUGUAAGCCGUUGAAGGUGUGCUGUGAGGCAUGCUGGAGGUAUCAGAAGUGCGAAUGCUGACAUAAGUAACGAUAAUGCGGGUGAAAAACCCGCACGCCGGAAGACCAAGGGUUCCUGUCCAACGUUAAUCGGGGCAGGGUGAGUCGACCCCUAAGGCGAGGCCGAAAGGCGUAGUCGAUGGGAAACAGGUUAAUAUUCCUGUACUUGGUGUUACUGCGAAGGGGGGACGGAGAAGGCUAUGUUAGCCGGGCGACGGUUGUCCCGGUUUAAGCAUGUAGGCGGAGGUUCCAGGUAAAUCCGGUACCUUUUAACGCUGAGGUGUGAUGACGAGGCACUACGGUGCUGAAGUAACAAAUGCCCUGCUUCCAGGAAAAGCCUCUAAGCAUCAGGUAACACGAAAUCGUACCCCAAACCGACACAGGUGGUCAGGUAGAGAAUACCAAGGCGCUUGAGAGAACUCGGGUGAAGGAACUAGGCAAAAUGGUGCCGUAACUUCGGGAGAAGGCACGCUGAUAUGUAGGUGAAGUGAUUUACUCAUGGAGCUGAAAUCAGUCGAAGAUACCAGCUGGCUGCAACUGUUUAUUAAAAACACAGCACUGUGCAAACACGAAAGUGGACGUAUACGGUGUGACGCCUGCCCGGUGCCGGAAGGUUAAUUGAUGGGGUUAUCCGUAAGGAGAAGCUCUUGAUCGAAGCCCCGGUAAACGGCGGCCGUAACUAUAACGGUCCUAAGGUAGCGAAAUUCCUUGUCGGGUAAGUUCCGACCUGCACGAAUGGCGUAAUGAUGGCCAGGCUGUCUCCACCCGAGACUCAGUGAAAUUGAACUCGCUGUGAAGAUGCAGUGUACCCGCGGCAAGACGGAAAGACCCCGUGAACCUUUACUAUAGCUUGACACUGAACACUGGUCCUUGAUGUGUAGGAUAGGUGGGAGGCUUUGAAGUGUGGACGCCAGUCUGCAUGGAGCCAUCCUUGAAAUACCACCCUUUAAUGGCUGGUGUUCUAACGUGGACCCGUAAUCCGGGUUGCGGACAGUGUCUGGUGGGUAGUUUGACUGGGGCGGUCUCCUCCUAAAGAGUAACGGAGGAGCACGAAGGUUAGCUAAUCCUGGUCGGACAUCAGGAGGUUAGUGCAAAGGCAUAAGCUAGCUUGACUGCGAGAGUGACGGCUCGAGCAGGUGCGAAAGCAGGUCUUAGUGAUCCGGUGGUUCUGAAUGGAAGGGCCAUCGCUCAACGGAUAAAAGGUACUCCGGGGAUAACAGGCUGAUACCGCCCAAGAGUUCAUAUCGACGGCGGUGUUUGGCACCUCGAUGUCGGCUCAUCACAUCCUGGGGCUGAAGUAGGUCCCAAGGGUAUGGCUGUUCGCCAUUUAAAGUGGUACGCGAGCUGGGUUUAGAACGUCGUGAGACAGUUCGGUCCCUAUCUGCCGUGGGCGCUGGAGAAUUGAGGGGGGCUGCUCCUAGUACGAGAGGACCGGAGUGGACGCAUCACUGGUGUUCGGGUUGUCAUGCCAAUGGCAUUGCCCGGUAGCUAAAUGCGGAAGAGAUAAGUGCUGAAAGCAUCUAAGCACGAAACUUGCCCCGAGAUGAGUUCUCCCUGAGACUAUAAGUCUCCUGAAGGAACGUUGAAGACGACGACGUUGAUAGGUCGGGUGUGUAAGUGUAGCGAUACAUUGAGCUAACCGAUACUAAUGAACCGUGAGGCUUAACCUUACAACGCCGAAG
rnacentral:rRNA from 2 species